rnacentral:rRNA from 1 species
AUGCUGAAUUCCUCACAACAACCUCUUCACGACCACAUAAACCAAUGUCAGCUGGAUGCCAUUGCACAAGCAAUGUCUAUAAAGACCCAGUUCAACAUGAGCAGAGAUUGCUUUAAUUCGAUGGUGACAUCUUGGGGUUGCUCUCUCCCCGAAGGUCACAAACUGGCUAAAAGAUGGUACGAAGCGAAGAAAAUCCUUCGUGCACUUAAGAUGCCCUAUGAGCAUAUACAUGCUUGUCCAAACGGAUGUGUCUUAUUUACGAAAGAGUAUGACGAUGACAAGUAUUGCGCCAAGUGCAAAGCCUCUAGGUAUGUCGAGAGAGACCUCAGUGAUGGUACGAAGAAGCAGAGCAAAGUCCCAGCAAAUGUUCUUCGAUAUUUUCCAAUCUUGCCAAGAAUUCAACGUCUUUACUUGAACAAAGAUACAACUAAACAGAUGACAUGGCACAAAUAUGGGAUAAGACGCGACAAAGAUGAUCAUGGGAGACCGAUGUUGAUACAUCCGUCUUGUGCCCAAGCAUGGAAGAGUUUCGAUCGAAUACAUCAUGAGAAAGCAAAAGAGGUAAAGAAUGCACGAGUUGCCAUCGGACUCGAUGGGUUCGAUCCGUUUGGUAUGGUGUCAAAGACAUAUAGUUGUUGGCCCGUGUUUGUUGUUCCCCUCAACCUCCCCCCUGGCGCCCUAAUGCAACGCAAGCACAUGUUCCUGUCGUUGAUAAUUCCAGGGCCCAAGUAUCCGGGGAAGAAUAUAAGUGUGUACAUGCAACCACUGAUAGAUGAGUUGAAAGAAGCUUGGGUGAAUGUGAUACAGACAUACGACGCUGCUAGCAAAAAGAACUUCACAAUGCAUGUUUGGUACCAGUACUCACUUCAUGACUUACCGGCGUAUUCACUUUUCAUGGGGUGGUCUGUGCAUGGGAGGUUCCCAUGCCCAAGGUGCAAGGAAAGCAUGCAGUGUCGUUGGUUGCAGCAUGGUCGCAAGUAUUCUUGCUUCGGUUUUCAUAGACAACAUUUGCGUCUUGACCAUCCAUUCAGACAAGACAAGAAGAACUUCAUGAAAGGUGAAGUCGUUGAACACUCGGCACCACCUGAGAUGACGGAUGAACAAAUUCGUGAUCAACUAAAUGCUCUCUAG